CCUACGGGAGGCAGCAGUGGGGAAUCUUGCGCAAUGGGCGAAAGCCUGACGCAGCAACGCCGCGUGCGGGAAGAAGGCUCUCGGGUUGUAAACCGCUUUCAGAAGGAACGAAACUGACGGUACUUUCAGAAGAAGGUGCGGCCAACUACGUGCCAGCAGCCGCGGUGACACGUAGGCACCAAGCGUUGUCCGGAUUUAUUGGGCGUAAAGAGCUCGUAGGCGGUUCAGUAAGUCGGGUGUGAAAACUUUGGGCUUAACCCAAAGCCUGCAUCCGAUACUGCUGUGACUUGAGUACGGUAGGGGAGCGGGGAAUUUCUAGUGUAGCGGUGAAAUGCGCAGAUAUUAGAAGGAACACCGGUGGCGAAGGCGCCGCUCUGGGCCGUAACUGACGCUGAGGAGCGAAAGCGUGGGUAGCAAACAGGAUUAGAUACCCUGGUAGUCCACGCCGUAAACGUUGGGCACUAGGUGUGGGUCUCAACCAACGAGAUCCGCGCCGUCGCUAACGCAUUAAGUGCCCCGCCUGGGGAGUCGGCCGCAAGGUUAAAACUCAAAUGAAUUGACGG
rnacentral:rRNA from 1 species